CUGGCUCAGAUUGAACGCUGGCGGCAUGCCUUACACAUGCAAGUCGAACGGCAGCACGGGUGCUUGCACCUGGUGGCGAGUGGCGAACGGGUGAGUAAUAUAUCGGAACGUACCUUAUCGUGGGGGAUAACGCAGCGAAAGCUGCGCUAAUACCGCAUACGCCCUGAGGGGGAAAGCGGGGGACCGUAAGGCCUCGCGCGAUUAGAGCGGCCGAUAUCUGAUUAGCUUGUUGGUGGGGUAAAAGCCCACCAAGGCGACGAUCAGUAGCUGGUCUGAGAGGACGAUCAGCCACACUGGGACUGAGACACGGCCCAGAUCCCUACGGGGAGGCAGCAGUGGGGAAUUUUGGACAAUGGGGGCAACCCUGAUCCAGCAAUGCCGCGUGAGUGAAGAAGGCCUUCGGGUUGUAAAGCUCUUUUGUCAGGGAAGAAACAGCAGCUCUAACACAGUCUGCGAAUGACGGUACUGAAAAUAAGCACCGGCUAACUACGUGCCAGCAGCCGCGGUA
rnacentral:rRNA from 1 species